GAUGAACGCUGGCGGCGUGCCUAAUACAUGCAAGUCGAGCGAACAGACGAGGAGCUUGCUCCUCUGACGUUAGCGGCGGACGGGUGAGUAACACGUGGAUAACCUACCUAUAAGACUGGGAUAAUUUCGGGAAACCGGAGCUAAUACCGGAUAAUAUAUUGAACCGCAUGGUUCAAUAGUGAAAGACGGUUUUGCUGUCACUUAUAGAUGGAUCCGCGCCGCAUUAGCUAGUUGGUAAGGUAACGGCUUACCAAGGCGACGAUGCGUAGCCGACCUGAGAGGGUGAUCGGCCACACUGGAACUGAGACACGGUCCAGACUCCUACGGGAGGCAGCAGUAGGGAAUCUUCCGCAAUGGGCGAAAGCCUGACGGAGCAACGCCGCGUGAGUGAUGAAGGUCUUUGGAUCGUAAAACUCUGUUAUUAGGGAAGAACAAAUGUGUAAGUAACUAUGCACGUCUUGACGGUACCUAAUCAGAAAGCCACGGCUAACUACGUG
rnacentral:rRNA from 1 species